AUGUGACCACUUGUCACACUUCCAUCAAACAGUACCUGCCCCUUAGGUGUGCUAGGGAAUAAAUGAAAUGCCUGGGACAUCAUCGUUAAGUGGCAUCUGAUGCAUAAGCAGUGCCCUAGGAAUGGGGUUGCCUGCCUUGGUCUCUAAAGGAUGGGUUCAAAAGGCAAGAGCAGCACACAAGAAGAUAGCUUCAAGCAGGAGAUAAAGCUUGGCCCAGGGCCCAAAGGGGAUACGACCCUUCAGGUUGGCCCUGACCUCUGGGUUGGAUUACCAGUGACACAAUGAACAUUUCAUUAUGAGGCCAUCCCUUGAGCAAACUGACAUGCUGAAAGCUGCCCUAUGGAGAGGCUCAUGUGGCAAGGAACAGAGGGUGGCUUCUGGCCAACACCCAGUGAGGAACUCAGGCCCUCAGUCAAACAGCCUGCAAGGAACUGAACCCUGCCAAUAACCAUAUCAUCACGUAUAAUUCUAGAGGCAGUGUCAGCCCCCGGCCAAUGACCACCAUGGACCUCCCUGUAGUUGAACAAAGUUGGGUUUGCUGACUGGUGGCAGUGAGGGAGAAUGCACACCACAGGGAGCUGUGCAGUGUCUCAGUAAGAAGCCAGGAGCCAUCCCGUGAGGCCGUUACUGCAAACAAGCUGAAAAUCCUGCUUUGUUUCUUUUGGACACAACAUGCUUUCCUUCAGCUUCAGUAGACGAUGAGGCCAGCACCACAUGGGCUAGAUGUACAUGAGAUGUGAGCAACCACACUUCCCCUCUGACGGGGACAGACAGCAUCACAGGACAUGAAGUUCUAAGAGGUUCAGUGACUUGUCUAAGAUUAAACAGCUAUGAAUGGAGAACUGGAGGCAAAUGAGGAUUCCCCAUUAAUGCCAUGAGUUCACUGCAGAGGUCAACACUGGGCAUACACUUCAAUCAUCCAUAAAGAAAAAUGGAGGCCUCAUCAUCUCUCACCUGGGCAACUGCAACAAUGAGCAGUUUGUGUCUGUGCCUGCAUCCAUCCUUCCAUCCUGUACUCCAGCAGCAGCCAGGGUGGUCUUUCAAAAAUGCAAAGCUGAUAAUGUUACUCCCCUGCUGUAAACCUUCCAGCGGUUUCCUAUUGCCUUCAGAAUAAAAUACGAAUCAUCUGGCC
rnacentral:lncRNA from 1 species